CAAAUACUCCCUCCGUCCGAAAAUACUUGUCAUCAAAAUGGAUAAAAGGAAAUGUAUCUAGACAUAUUUUAGUUUUAGAUAUAUCUCUUUUUAUCCAUUUUGAUGACAAGUAUUUUUGGACGGAGGGAGUAGAAA
rnacentral:pre_miRNA from 1 species